UGCAGCCCUGUCAAAUUCGCUCCCUGCUUCCUCCGUGGUGGGGAGCGGCCAACCGGCUGCCCCAGCAA
rnacentral:snoRNA from 1 species